rnacentral:rRNA from 1 species
AGCGAACGCUGGCGGCAGGCUUAACACAUGCAAGUCGAGCGGGCCCUUCGGGGUCAGCGGCGGACGGGUGAGUAACGCGUGGGAACGUGCCCUCUGGUCUGGAAUAACCCUGGGAAACUAGGGCUAAUCCCGGAUACGCCCUUUUGGGGAAAGGCUUGCUGCCGGAGGAUCGGCCCGCGUCUGCUUUGCUAGUUGGUGGGGUAACGGCCUACCAAGGCGACGAUCAGUAGCUGGUCUGAGAGGAUGAUCAGCCACACUGGGACUGAGACACGGCCCAGACCCCUACGGGAGGCAGCAGUGGGGAAUAUUGGACAAUGGGCGCAAGCCUGAUCCAGCCAUGCCGCGUGAGUGAUGAAGGCCUUAGGGUUGUAAAGCUCUUUUAUCCGGGACGAUAAUGACGGUACCGGAGGAAUAAGCCCCGGCUAACUUCGUGCCAGCCGCCGCGGUAA